GUUAAAGUUAAUUUUAUGGUUAUUUUAAAAAUAUAAACUUCUUAAUUUGUUUCAGAAUAAUAUAAUAUAAUUGUGAGAUAUAUGAAGUAUGAAUACUAGGUUAACUUAAUAGUUCUAAUAAAUUUUUGUUUUUUACAAAUAUUUGUUUGAGCUUUUACCAUUUUAUCUUAUAUAUUCUUCGUAACAUAAUUCUCCGGAUAAAUUGAACAAUUUUAAAAAGGAACAUUAGAGAUACAGAGACUAGUUGGUUAUCACUAAUAUCGCUAGGGCUGUUUUUGACAGAGGAUUUUAAGGACACUUGCCCUGGGUAGCAGAUGUUUGGGGGGCAUCCGGAUGCCGGAAUACUAUUUGAAAAAUUUAAAACUUUUUGACCUUUGGCUUAAGAAAUUUAUAGAAAAUUAUCAAUUUCAAAAAAUAAAUAUUGAUUUGUAUUCAUAUUAUGGUUUUUAGCUGCAAAUUAAUACGUCAAGAUUUCACUAGACUAUAUAAUGACAAUGGGACAUCCAACGAACAUAAAAUAUUUUUAUAAAAUAUAUUUUAGUACAUAGGUAUAAACGUUUAAUUUAUUUUCAAACAGUGCUGUGGUAGUACCCGCCGCCCAGAAAACCCAGGUUUGAAAAGGCAUAACAUGGAUUUCUAUCUAUCAUUGUACUAUAUUAUAACAGUGCAGACUGUUGUGUUACUUUGGUUUUACGUCAUUAUCUUCAAUAUAAUUUAUAAACAUUAAGAGGACUUGAAACGACGAAUUUCUGUCUUUGUCUAAAUACUUGAAAUAUAAUUAGACUUUUUAAUUGUUCUAAUUUAAGCGUACCGAUUGAUCUAGUGAAUUGAUAAGAAUUCUAUAUAUAUUGUAGACCCAUUUCAGAAAGGAAAUUUUCUUGAGGUGGUACUUUAAGGAGGUAUUGAUUCUUUCAUCAAAUGUGAAAAACUGAAAAAAAACGAGAAAAUAUAAGAAAUAUAUUAGUAAAAUAUUAUAAUUUUUUUUCUGUGGACAACUUCUCUACCAGAAAUUUUGCCCUGAUUUAUAAUGAUAGCAUUUUUCUGAACGAAAAUCUGAUUGGGAAGGUACUUUAGGGAGGUUAUUUUUCCCAAUAAAUAUAAUAAACCAGGAAAUACGAAAAACUGUACAAUAUUAAACCAAUAUUAUUUAAUAUUAAAGAAAAUAUAUAAUGCCUAUUUAAUUAUUUACCAUAAUAUGACAUAUAUUGUUGACAGAGCAUCACUAUCAACUGAACUUCGCUCAGAAUUGUUUUGAGUAAACAAUGGUAUUGUUGCCCAUAGAUAAAAAUUAAUUUCUUCUCUAUAUCCUACCUUCCCAAUUUAUCACCAACAAUAGUGGCUGCACCAUGCAAAGUAUGUCCGC